rnacentral:rRNA from 1 species
GUAGCGGCGAGUGAAGCGGCAAAAGCUCAAAUUUGAAAUCUGGUACCUUCGGUGCCCGAGUUGUAAUUUGGAGAGGGCAACUUUGGGGCCGUUCCUUGUCUAUGUUCCUUGGAACAGGACGUCAUAGAGGGUGAGAAUCCCGUGUGGCGAGGAGUGCGGUUCUUUGUAAAGUGCCUUCGAAGAGUCGAGUUGUUUGGGAAUGCAGCUCUAAGUGGGUGGUAAAUUCCAUCUAAAGCUAAAUAUUGGCGAGAGACCGAUAGCGAACAAGUACAGUGAUGGAAAGAUGAAAAGAACUUUGAAAAGAGAGUGAAAAAGUACGUGAAAUUGUUGAAAGGGAAGGGCAUUUGAUCAGACAUGGUGUUUUGUGCCCUCUGCUCCUUGUGGGUAGGGGAAUCUCGCAUUUCACUGGGCCAGCAUCAGUUUUGGUGGCAGGAUAAAUCCAUAGGAAUGUAGCUUGCCUCGGUAAGUAUUAUAGCCUGUGGGAAUACUGCCAGCUGGGACUGAGGACUGCGACGUAAGUCCAA